UAUUCUCUCGUAGGUCCUGCUUAGUGUUGUUCACUUGUGGGCCCUUUCACUAUUGUUUUCUUGUGGAUCCUGUUAUUAGUCUCUCGUGGGUACUGCUCAGUAUAUUAGACAGUUCUCUGGAUCCUAGCUGCUAUUUUUUUCUCACCUGAAUUAAAGCACAUAUUUUACUUGAUCCUGACUCUAUAUGCAAGUGUUUAUCUUUUGUCUUGUUGCUCUAGCACUUUUGGUACAUGUAUCUGAUUACUGGUCAGGUAUGGCCUUUAUAAGACUAGUGAAUACAUCCGUUCUUUCUGAUAGCAAGAUAUUGUUGCCGUGGUCUAUUAUUCGAUUGAAUGAUGAAGCAAUUACGAUUGAAGAGUUUUACAGAGAUUGUGUUGAGCCUCGAUUAGAGGGUAAUCAUUUUCAAGUAUCUUCAGCUUAUGUAGGGCAGGACAGAAAUUCACUAGAUCUUGUGGACGAACUCAGUUUACCAGUUUUAUCAGUAGUCUCAUUAUUUGGGCCAUUCCUCAGGUAUUUAGUAGUUUCUACUUCUCCUUCUCCUGUACACAAUGAUGUAUCUACACAUAACUCUACUUUACUAACAGUUCAAGCUUAUUCUGUAAAUGAGAGAACAAGGAAAGAUAAACUAUUUAAUGAUAUUGUUUCUUU